CCUUAAUACAAUGGUCCCUUAAUUUCUUAUCACAGAGCAACAUUUAUUUGGCCAAAUGACCUGAGCCUAAUCAGUUGGGGAUGCCAAACAGAGCCCGGUACUAGAAGGAACCUAAAUUCUAGUUCCAUUCUGCUGCUUAGUGAAAAUGUUUGUUUGGGCAUGUCACUGAGUUCAGUUUUCUCAUCUGGAUGACUUUGAAGUCUCCUCCUAAUUUUAACAGUUUAUGCUCCUGGAACUUGAUCACAGUCUCUUUCCAUCAGCUUUUCUACCUAGGUUCCCAGGGUGUCCCACUUCUGCACCAAGAAAUAAUCCCACAAGGCCAGGCUCUCUUGAAAAAGCUUUUACAGACUGUUGCUGGGCUCCCAGCAAGUGCUGCAUCUCUGCGAGCCACUGAGCAUGCAGGGAGCCCCCAAAGAGACAGUUUUGAAAUGGGAUCAUUUUCUUCCUGGAAGCAAAAGGGUGUUUACUCAAGACCCUAUUUCUACAUUAAAGUAUGAGAAAGUCUAUCUUUGAAGCUCCCAGUGGGGCCAGAGAUCAAGCUGGGGUGGGGACGGGAUGUUGAUAAGAGUCAAAUCUAGAACACUGUGCUCUUACCCCCUCAUUUCACCCGGUGUCUCUGGGCCUGGCAUCUGGGAGUAUUUGUGAUGUGUGGGAUGUGUGCAUGUGCUGGAAAGUAUUCAUGUAUGAGUUCAAAUUUAUGUGCUCACUUUGCGCCUUGGGGUAUUACUGGCCUUCAAGUUUGAUGCCUUUGGAAGCUGAGUCCUCUCCCAUCCUUUCAAUCAAACUCAACCCUUGCUGCAGUAAUCUGUCUUUAACAACUCCCACUGCAAGUCAAUAAAAUGUCAAUUUAGUUCUCCUUUUGUUAAAUC
rnacentral:lncRNA from 13 species